GAGAGAGAGAGAGAGAGAGAGAGAACUGUGUGUGUGUGUGUGUGUGUGAGAGAGAGAGAGAGAGAACUGUGUGUGUGUGUGUGAGAGAGAGAGAGAGAGAGAGAGAACUGUGUGUGUGUGUGAGAGAGCGAGAGAGCUGUGUGUGUGUGUGUGUGAGAGAGAGAGAGAGAGAGAGAGAACUGUGUGUGUGUGUGAGAGAGAGAGAGAGAGAGAGAGAGAGAGAGAGAGAGAGAGAGAGAGAACUGUGUGUGUGAGCUGUGACUGAAGCUGGAGUCACGUUGUUCCGGAUACAGAGAGAAUGAGCACCUCUACUAGCAGGAGUAGCUCGUGCACUAGUCUAUUUUCACUGUAUCUUUAUUUACAUGUUGUUUAGUGAGAUGUUUGUUUGUAUUUUAAACGUCACUGAACUCUGAAAUAAAGUAAGUAACCGGUCAGUUUGAACAGAUUCCUCUCGACGACCGCGGACACUGUCAGGUUUAGGUGUUGACGCUUUUCAUCAUGGCCACCACGUCACCUUUUAACCUCACAGAAAUGGUACCAACAACUGUGGCCCCAUACCAUAGAGACUCUGUUGUCUUAGGAGUGGUGAUUCUGCUGGUCUUGUGUACACUGGCUGGCUUGGUGUGCCUGUUGUAUCGCUACCUUUGUCACAACAAGGGCAUCUAUAGGACAACAGGAGAGGCUGCACCAGGUGUGAACCCAGACCGAAUCUACCAUGAUACAGUCACUGAAAACAAGGAGUACUUCAUUUAAAAUAAUGCAGACUGCCAUGGAUGAGUUGGCAGUGAAGAUCAUGUUGAAUAGGUACUGACGUUUAGGUUUUUUUGCUGAGAAGCUUGUCUGUGGGAGCACAGCCACUGAGGAGACUGUGUGCUAAGGAGUUUACAGUGAGUUAAUGAUAAUGUUUGCUUUGGUGUUUUGGGGAUUUAUUAACAUGACACAUAUCGAUGUAUCAGAAGCAGAUGUUCAGAUAGUGUAUCAAACCUUGUGCAACAGAUUUAUUUAUAUACCUGACACUUUAUGUUUGUGGUGACAUGCAGUCGACCUGCCGCAUCUGUUAAAUACAUAAAUUAAUUGAGUGACUAAAGUCAUGUUUGACUUAUGAGCGCAUAAAAACCCCAUUCUCAGACGUUUCUGUCCACAAAGCAGAUGUUUGUUUAUGAAUGCUGGCCUACAUAGUGCAGGUACAGAAUUUUUCCUAUAUAGCUGACCCUACUUUCACAUCAGAAAAUUACUUUUGAAUUUUAGUUUUUCUCUUGUAGAAACUAACUGUAACAAGCGUGGCCUGAGGACUGGUCUGAGGAAUCAAUCGUUUGGAUUUGUCACGUUACCGCACCAUACCUAAUUUACAUAGAACUGAGAACAUUUCAGUUCAAAUUGUUACUUGCCCCUGUGGCUGAAAUCACAGCUCUGUGCUAUGCCUGUAUAUAGAAAAUUAAUGAGCGCCUGCUGCUUUAUCGCACAUUAGUAUGAAUGUAAGGCAUAUACUGAAUUGACGCUGCAUUCGGCAAACUUAACCUUUUCCUUAAAGAGGCUGCUAGGCCGGUAUAACAUCAGUGAGAGGGUUUUAUUACUCUUUCUUCUCAUAGACACAAAGAUUCACACAGUCGGGUCCAAGCGUCUGAGAACACUAGUGAAACUGCUUCUAUUUUGUAUUCUUUUAUAAUUUAAUACAACAAAUGUUCAUUACAAAUUACUUUACUGACAACAAACUAAGUGAAAAGCAGAAUCUUUGAAAUAUUUACAUGAAUUUCAGAGUUAAUUAUUAUUUGCUUUGUCCCCUUUUUGCUUUCACGACAGUGUGUACACAAGCUGGCAUGGACUCCACAAGUUUGUUCAAAACAUUAUGAUCCAUUUCAGAUCAUAUCCAUUGAAGUGUGAUCUGAACACAUCCUUCAGUAGAAGAGAGUAGGCAUGAGGAGAAUCUGACCUAUUGUACGAAACGGUUCACAUGGUCAGUAUCACAAAUUUGCUUAAAUUUAAAUAGUAAUCUAAAAUAGAGUAAAAUCUUGAAUAUUAAAUAUUCAAGAGAUUGAACAUUUACUUUGUUUUAAAUAUUUAAAAAUUCUAAAACCUUCUGUUUUAUAUAAUCCCAGCUUUUCAAUGUGUCUCAGACUUUAUAUCAAAAAGUGGAACUUUCAUGUAUUCUAGAUUCAUUAAAUGAAAUAUUUUGAGCCUUUUAUUAUUUUAAUCUUGAUGAUUACAGAUUACAGCUCAUGGAAAUAAAAAAUCCAGUAUAUCAAAAUAUUUGAAUGAAGAAUUUAUAAUAUAGAAAUGUAGACCUGAGAAGACUCUAAUCAGAUAAUUAACUCAAAACACCUGCAAAGGUUUCCUGAUCCUUUAAUCUCUCAGUCUGAUUCAGUACACAACCACAAUCACGGAGAAGAUGAAAGUAAAUUUUGCAUUUCAUUUGGAAAUUGUAAGGGUCCAGUCACUGGUCCAACGACGGUAUCCACCAAUGACGUGGUAGAAGGAUUCCUGCGUGUUCCUGUCUUUUUGAAGCGAUGUGAAUACAUUUAGAUUAUUAAAUUUGUCGUUCCAUUUCUGUUUGACUCUCAGUUAAAUUAAAUCUGACUCCAAUUGUAAAAACCUCAAUGUUGUAUUUGUUUCCUAGUUAUUUGUAUUUUGUUACAUUUGAUUAAUUCUAGUUUAUUCUAUAGUUUAAAUUGUGCUCGUUUAUCCGGGUUCCAUGUCGCUCAGAGUCUCGCACCGGUCGUGUACGCGGAUCUCACCGUCACAAACUCACCAGUCCUGGUCAUUAGCCAGCGGUAAUUGAGUAAUACUAUUUAGAUGGCUGCCCCAU